GACGAACGCUGGCGGCGUGCUUAACACAUGCAAGUCGAACGGAAAGGCCCUGCUUUUGUGGGGUGCUCGAGUGGCGAACGGGUGAGUAACACGUGAGUAACCUGCCCUUGACUUUGGGAUAACUUCGGGAAACUGGGGCUAAUACCGGAUAGGAGCUCCUGCUGCAUGGUGGGGGUUGGAAAGUUUCGGCGGUUGGGGAUGGACUCGCGGCUUAUCAGCUUGUUGGUGGGGUAGUGGCUUACCAAGGCUUUGACGGGUAGCCGGCCUGAGAGGGUGACCGGCCACAUUGGGACUGAGAUACGGCCCAGACUCCUACGGGAGGCAGCAGUGGGGAAUAUUGCACAAUGGGCGGAAGCCUGAUGCAGCAACGCCGCGUGCGGGAUGACGGCCUUCGGGUUGUAAACCGCUUUCGCAUGUGACGAAGCGUGAGUGACGGUAAUGGGUAAAGAAGCACCGGCUAACUACGUG
rnacentral:rRNA from 1 species